CAGAGGUUAAUUUUGAAAAAAGGCUUGCUAAAGAACAUAGCCUAGCCGACUGUAAUCAAGUCCCAGAUCGACCAGGCUGGUAUACUAGGCAAUAAGCUAUAUAAGGUGUUCCUAACCCUCCCUCAGGUACAUGUACAUGUACUAUGUGGCUGAGGGUGUGAGGCUCUAUUGUCAGGAGACCUGGAGGGCGGUCACACAGGACCAGGAAAGUGCAGCCAGCACAUUAACAACUCCUGGUGAAGGCACCCACCUUAGACACACGACUGACGGCUAGCCACAGGGAUCACUCGAUUAUGCAGGAGACGAUAUUGGGACGCCUACGUGCAAGGAAUUUUAGCGAGGGUGUUGGAGGUAAUUAAAUUCGCUGGAAGCAGAUUUGAGAAGGCGCGUGCCUGUACACACACACACACUACUGACAAACAUUUGGUUCAGAUGAGCUCAGCCAACAAGUCACAAGUAAGUAUCCUUUGUCUUCGACUUAAUUCGUGGAUUUACAAAAUAAUGCUUCGUUCUCGAGUUAUAGUUUUGCUUACUUGGAAUGUCAUUGCAGCCUUUUCAGAAGAGCACGUAGCCAACCUUGUUUACGGAGUGUCAAUUGGUUGAUCAUUACCCAUUCUUUGAGUUUGCAUGCGCAGCAAAAUUAAUAAUGCAAACAUGUUUGUCAUGUAUAUAAAUUUAAAAAAGCUUAGCUUUAUGUUGUAUGUAGCUUUGGCAUCUCCACCGAGGCAUCAGCACCUGAGGUGCUAUGUAUAUUGCAUAAUCAUACCAAGAGUUUAUGAUAGAGAGAGAGUAUCGAACGUAGGCAUACUGUACAUCAAAUGUAUGCGGAGAGUAACGUGACUUCCUGUAUCUGUCACAAGCUUGGAAUUUGCACACUGACCAAUCUAAACCUGGGUGAUGUAAUCUAUUACAAUGACUGCUACACGUACAUGUAACAGUGUGUAUAAACAAGUUUCUGCACUCAAGAAUUUCAGCGGACAAGUAAGUGUUUAGAGCGACAGUCACAUGCCCAUGUUAGAGAAUCCAGUGGCAGAAUCAACUUACUUCUUUUUCUUGAGGUCCUGGUAUACCGGAAGUGGACACAUAUUCUACAGGAAAUGGACGCAUAUUCUACAGGAAGUGGCAAAUAAUUUGCAGGAAGUUCUCAAAAGUUGGAAUGAAAUUUUUAGUGAAAGUGACAAGAAGAUGACAAAAACAUUAUAAAAAACACAGAAUGCAAUAGUUUGUUCAGUCAAUAUCCAUUUUUUCCAUGUCCACUGUUGCUUUGUAUUGCUUUUUCCAGUUGGGCAUGGGCAAGGGGGGCCAGGAAGCAUCAAAAACACUUUAGCAGUCGCUUGACACUUUCUAUUGAGUUUUUUAAGGUUCCAUGCCGGUCCAGUCUGCUCUAUACCCCCCUCCACUCCACCGCAGAGCUUCAUUCUUCUUCUUGUAGUGUUGCAGUCAGUUCUAGCAUAGUUCUAGGUUCUUUUUACUUGUCUGUUCUUUCCAGUAUCUUCAAGAAGCGUUUCACAGCUCUCCAGCUCCAAACCUGGCUUUUUAUAACCACGCCUCGCGCAUGCGCAAUGAAGUCCAAGUUAGAUAGACCACACCCACUUGUAGAAUAUGCGUCUUAGUAACCGCCAUGGUUACGGUUAGCUUCCCUCGACUUUGCGCCUCGGGCUAACCGCAACCGCGGAGGUUACAUAGACGCAUAUUCUACUCUUAGGUGUAGUCUAUCCUAUACUUCUAUAACACUCUAAUACUUUUGAGCAAAAGCACAAACAUGACGAGAGGCAUUAGCAAGAGCACGCCUGCAACACUUGUUCUUAACUGUUUUUACUGCAUUAUACACCUUCACCUCGCCUGAAAAUGUGUGUGUACAGAGCCUAUGGUCCCACUGUGUACACUGCUAAGGUUAAGGGUAUAAUAAUACUGUGUACACUGCUAAGGUUAAGGGUAUAAUAAUAACAUGCAUUUUGUGUAUCUCGUCUGCUAUUUUAGUAUUACAUGUGAUAUGCAUAACUUGUUGAUACCUACAUGUACAUAUGACUAUUCCAGAAUGUGCAGUUUUGUAUGCUCAUACUGUGGACGUUCAGUUGACCGCCACUAGCCUGCUCUGUAUGUCAUAAUAAUUGU